CUGGCCAAUCACAAGCUCAUGGAGGCAGGACUUCAUUUAAUACCCAUAUUUUAUGGUAAUGCAUUGUAGCAGAGUAGUGUUCUCCCAAUUUUAAGAUGCUUGUAUGGCCUGUUCUUGAUACAACUGCUUGACAGGGAUGGGCGAUAUCUUUUCGUUUGUGAUAUACUGGUAGAAAUUCCAGCGAUAAUAACGAUUAAGCGUAGUAGAUGACGUUUUUUUUUUUUGCGUGACGGUCUGCGACUCAUUCACAGCUCACGUGCAGAGCGAAAACAUGUAUGGUGGAAGGCGUACGUGAAGCUGAGGAGGAGUAUCGCUAAACGAUGAGCUAUCUCUACAAUCUGGAACUGGUUUGGUUACAGAAAAUCAGCUUUAUUUUUAGAUCAAUGUUUGUGUUUCUGAGGCUCUCAAGAUCACAGCUAUCACUUGUAGCCAAAAACAGUGGUGCAUGGUACUAUAUUUAUAUCGUAUAUAAAAGAUAUUUAAAUUUAUUUUAAUAAUAUGAUUAAAAUAUAUUUUCAUACUUUCUAAAUAAAUAAUACAUAAAAUAAACUGUAUUGUUUUCCCUCUGGAACUAGUGGAUCUGAAUCAUGGCACCAAAUACCAUAACAAAACAGAGCCAAAAAAUUUUCCUUUAAUUUGUCACCCAUAUGUAAUUUAACUCCAGGAUUAAUCCCAGGAUUUGAAUGCAGGCUUUUCUUGCACACUGAGGGACAUUUCAGAGCAAGCCUACAGAGAAGCAGCAUCUCAGACCAGUUUGUGAGUGUUAUGUGGCGGCGAAACCGUGUCAUUGUGCCUAGCUCUCCUAAAACAUGCACACACCCACACACUGUUCUGCAAGCGUGAUUUUCUAUGUAUAAACUAGAGGACGGAAAUAUUGUUAAGAUACUUCUGUGUUUUACUCCAAAUGGAACUCCUGUGCUCUCACACUUUGGAACGAGGUCAACUUCAGGUUUCCUGGCUCAGCAGAGACAUGCCUCACACCCCUCUUGAGCAAACAGGCAGUACCUCCAGGCCUGGAAAAUGGGUUCCACUGGAGGAAAGUUACUCAGAUUACACUCAUGUUCUCUCUCACAACAACAUGCUCCCUAGUGGAGGAAGUGGAACUCAGCCCAUCUUUCCCCACAAUGACAUAUUACCCAUGGAAAAAUUCACACUUGAAUGCACACUCUCACUUGCCUGCUCCCUUACACACAAACACACAUUUCCCCUAUUGGUUUGAACAGCUUUUUUCAGAGCUUCUAGGGAAAAAUGGUGCCUAUUUUCCAUGUUUGUCAUAACAUGUUGAAACCAAUCCACAGGAACGGGUUUGUUUCCAGACAAUGAAUUUCCAUUUAUUAGAGAAGCUGCUGCGUCAUGGAGACAGUGCAGGGGAGGUAGCAGUAUUCAUUCAAAAUUUACCCAGCCUUCUUGGAGGACGCUCCGUUCCUCCUAAUAAGAUCCACAGUGAUAAUUGUUUUUCCAGCUCCGCUGAGAUGCAGAGCAGCCUCCUGGUGCUUCCUGUUGUGUUUGUUUGCGUAGUGUGUUCCCCACCACAGUGACUUUCCUGCCUCCACCCUCUGGGUUUUUUUUUUAAGGCCCUGUCUGGUAACUUCUGGUAAUGAGGUCUGCAGGGAUCAAACCUGGUUGGGACUUCAAUGUGAAAGCUAUCAUGAUUUACAGCUAACAGCUAACGGUUCGCAAUUGACACGCAGCAGAAGCGCCACAUCGAGAAGGUCUAAAGAGCAGACUUUAAAUAGCAACAGAUCAGUGACAAGUAACUGAUGGGUUUGUUCACAACUUUCAUGAAACUGAAAGAGACUCUCCAGUGUAGGGUCUACUGUUAGUAUGAAAACAUGAUGUGUGUACAGACACAAAUGAGCCAAUACUGGAUGCUUACAACACAAGGAUUGUUAUACAGCAUUCACAUCUUCUCUUUUAGCACAACUCCAUACAAAGAUUGAAAUGUUAUUAUUUGACUUCAAAACGUUCACGUAGAACAUAGUGUUCUAUAUGCAACCAAACAGAUGUCUUAGCCUCAAUCUUAGGCUCGGUAUCUGUGACAUGGGCUAACCAUUCUUCCUGGCUGAUGUGUUUUACUGACACACAUUUCCAUCACAUCACGGUUUUGUAACCGUUGGUGAAGAUAUUUUGAAAUUUGUGACAUUUCGGAUCUACAGUACAGGCUCAGUAUUCUGGAGUUGUACAGUAGGUGCUGGUUCUGUGGCAAUGCCUAUACCAGUGAUGUCUAAGGACUCAGGGAUGUCAUCACUGACAUAACAAUUCAAGCAUACUAUUUACACUAUACAUGAGACCAACCUUUAAAUAAGUCUUGAUGUGACCUGUGUGGAACUGAAACAAUAAGCAGAAUUAACAUCUCAACUAUGAACUGAUCAUCUGAGGAAGAAAUACAACCAGAAGUACAACUCCAAAGUUGCAUUAGUAAACUUCCACUUCUGACUACAAAAUGGUUCUUUCUAAAUCAGUGAAACUGUAGAUUAAUAUAAAUAAAUAAAUAAAUAAAUAAAUAAAUAAAUAAAUAAAUAAAUACAAGGUUAUUUGAACCAGCACUGACUCUAGCACCAGCACCCUGUCUAUGAAAAAGGGGGUUCCUGUAAUCCCUCUGCCUAUUCUGUGUACUGUGAAGGGGAUUUCUCUUUAGAGGAAGUGGAUAGGUGUUACUGAGUUGUAUUGCUAAAGUCCACUGUCUGCCCGAAAGUAUGUGCAAGCAUUUUGACAGCUCUUAUAUAAAAGCAGCAGCUGUUGUGCCGUCUAACUGGGGUGAUGGAGGUGUACACACUUAACUGCAAACAUUAUUAAUACUAUUUUGCUCACUGUUUAUCUAUGUGUAAGCACUAGUGCCUAAAGAGACAUUUGAAAGCCGAUCAGGGGCAAAAAAGUAAAUCACAUCAUAAAGAAAAUCACAUCAUAAAAUCUACCAGUCGGCCUCUUUAAGAAGGCAAAAGCAUGUAGAUAUAAUUCCAUAAGCUUUUAGUGCCUGCGAUUUGGCUGAUGAUGUCAGUGAUCCCAUUGAAGGGGAAAUAUUCAAGCUCCGACUCACACAGGCAUUCACACUCCACUCUUAGGACAUAAACAGUCAAGCAGUGUGCAUUCAGUCCAGCGCAAAGUCUCUUUAAUCGCAUUCAGCCCCAUUCUUUAACAAAGAUUAACAUCUGUACUUUGUGUGUAGCUGGUUAUAGUCACUGAAAACUUCACACGCACUAGGUGUUGUGGAAAAAAUAGACGUAUUACAAACCAGUAUUAUGUAAGUAUAAGUAUUAUGUAAAAAUGAAUUAUUAUUUUAGUUGGCCAUAGUAUAACUAUAAACCUAAAUCAGUACUCCAUGUGCCACCGCAAAGAAUGCAUGCACUGGGUAGAAGAGCAUGAAAGGGCCAGACUAACACAGGCUCCCAGGCUGGAGGAGUUUCCAGUGUUCACAUAAAAUUGAUAAUGAGAUGUGUACGCAGCAGGAAUGGAAAAAUCUGAGGUUCCUUAUGAGGUUUCCACAUUCCUCCCUUCCUGCAGGCCAGACACAAAUGCUCUACAUCUGCUCAAGAGGUUUGUUUGUGUGUACUUAUGUGUACAGUGAGUGGAAAUAAAUUUCCAGACACUUUUGUUUUUGUUUUUUAAUAUACGUCCAGUGCACAUAUAGACUUCUAAAUAUAAGUGCUGCAAAAAAAAUAUUCCUGAAUGGAAAAAGCUACAGUCAUAGCAAAGACCUUACACAUCACUGGCAGCACAACUGGUUCGAUAAUAUGCCCGUGAAAGUUCAUGGAACCACAACCAGUCGUCCCUGGACAGGUGUGCCAUACAAGAUUUCACAACGUGCUCUCAGACUAAUGAUAAUGAAGGUAAGAGAGAAGGUAGCAGUCACUCGAAUAGCAGGACAACCUGAAAGCAGCAGCUACACAAAGAACUGCACCACAAUCAUCUCAGUUCCUGCACCUCACGCUAAACUCCUAUGCUAAAAAAGAGCACAGAGAUGCACGUCUAAAAUCAUUUAGACAAAUCAUAACUCUUCUGGGAAAUACACUCUGAUCAGAUGAAACAAAAAUAAAACUCUUUGGCAAUAAUUCUGAUCAUCAUGUUUGGAAAGGUUUAUGCGUAUGAUCCCAAGAACACCAGGAUACACAGAUCAUCACAGUGAAACGCGGUGCUGGGAGCAUCGUGAUAUGAGGGCUGAUUCUCUGCAAUUGGUACUGGGGUGAAGGAAAUAUGAAUGGAGAGAUAGCUGGAUAUAUUGAAGAAGAAUUUAAAUCUCAUCCACCAAGAAACUGAAUCUAUGGAGAAGAUGGAAAUUUCAAUAAGACAACAACACCCAAACACACAGCCAAAAUCACUCAAGAGCGCUCCAGAAUUGCAUCCUAUCAUAAAAAGCUAAAUACUUCUUCCCGUAGUCAUCUCCAAUCUGUAAAUAAUGUAGGAUCAUGAAGGAUGUAUUCAAAAGUAUAAAGUCAAAAGACAUUGUGUGUGUAAAUGUGAAAUAGAUAUACACGCUUGAGGUAUAUUAAACAAUAAAAACAAAAGGGUCUGAAUACUUAUUUCCCAUCACGGAGUGUGGGAGCAUAAAUGUGUCAUCACCAACAUAAUUGAUAUUCUAUUGGUGGCUAUCAUAUUUAUAAAUGUAAUAGUGCAAUAGUAAAGUACCCCAUUGUGAAUAAUUUAUGCAUUAGCACCUAGAAUGUAAAAAAUAUAUAUAAAUAAUAAAAUAGCUGUAUUCUUAUGCUGAGAACUUUCAUACACACCAACCUACGUACAACCCUUGCAAAAAGUCUGUCCAAAACAAUACAAUCUGAGCAUGGUGUCUCCUCCUCUUCUGUGGUGCUCCUUCUCAUUGUAACCUGGCUGGCCUUGACUGUUUCCACGGGCGAUAAACACAGACAGAAACCAAAUAAAGAUCUGGUUUCUCACAGUAGCCGAAAAGCUUCCUACGCUGCUUUUGUUUGGCGAGUCUGUUUGGGUGAUUGCAGAGGCAUAAGUGGCCAGCUCUCGUCUGUCUCUCUCUCUCUCUCUCUCUCUCUCUCUCUCUCUCUCCUCCUCCUCCCUCCCUCCCUGAGCUUGCUCCUAUUUAUUAACUCUGAGACAGUAAACUGUGAGCCUUGUACUUAGAGUGACCCUGAUACAUGUGAAGUGCAAAGUACUCUUACUACUCUUUUAGGUCUCUGGCUCAAGCUUUACAAUGGGUAAGACUUAAGUUUUGGCUUUUUUUUUUUUUUUCUUUACACAUUCAGGUUUCUUUAAUGGUCAGGUUUUCACAGAACUAAGUACCAAUGCCUUUUUUUUGUUUAAAGGUAUAGCACAAUACGUAUUGUGUCAUGUAACAUGAAAACAUAUAACAUGAACUUUUCUUAAUACCAUGUUCAAUAUACAGUAUGAUCAACAUCUUGCUGAAAGGAAAGCAGUAAAAAAAAAUAACUGUAGCUAGAAUUACUAUAUGUGCACUGUUACUAUAUGUGUAUGCAGUAUGUAAGUUUUUGAAUAAAAUAUUUGCAAUAUUUCAUUAGAUAUACUGUACACUACAUGUAUGUUUACUUCCUUCCUGUGAGCAUAGAGAGAAAGCUGUGUCACAGUGCCUGGCUGUCCUUGCUGUCAUGUUUGAUGCAGUGUGUGGUCAGACCGGAUGGCACUGUAAUAAGAAGUAUGAUGCUAGCGGCGGUUUCCUAUUUCCUUCUCGCUGUUCCCCCACACACUUGCACCCCCUGUCUCUCCUUCCACACACUCCACGCACACAUACCCCCUGACAGCAGCACUCAAAGACUCCUGCGGUUUUUAAAUAGAGCAGCAUUGCCUUGUCCUUGGCAACCCACAACUCCCACCUCUACUCCUGAGCUGUGACUUUUAUUUAUUCCCUUAUUCCAUCCCUACUUCGUCCUUCUUUCUGACUCGGCCAGUUGUAUCUUGCUCCUUUCAGUGACUAAAAAUACUGCCACAGCCUUUGUCCUGCCAAAAGUGGUGUGAGGCAUGGAAAAGAAAAAUACUUCAAUGUAAUUAGAGCAGUGCAAAAGGACAGAAUGGGGCAAAUUCACUUCACCGUCUUUUACACCUUCACCCAAAAGCUCAUUUUACAAUCAAACUUGGAAGGAGAAUUCUUGGGAAGGAAAAAAAAAAAGUCUUAGAAAUACAAUGAGUCCAUGAUGAGAAUGAGUCACACAAACAAGCUUUAUAAUUUAAUGGCACAAGUCACCAGCCUGGUGAGUAAAGCCAGCUCUGUUUUUUUCCAGUCUUAAUGAUCAGGGCAGCAGAUUUUCCUGGAACUAAAGGAGAGAUGGGUGAGGAGCAGAUGGAAAGUCAGCCAUUCCAGAGUGCUGCAGGCUUGAGCACUGAAAAAUGCUGAGCACGUAUCUGCUCCCUACCUUGAAGAAGAACAAGCCCACAAUUGGACAGAAGCUAGGCGUUUUGUCCCUUCCUCCUACAAAGGAGCUGGCAUAGGUCUGGGCUCAACAGAAGGCAUGGAGAGCUUAUCCCAGCAAGAGUUCAGGCCACAAACACACUCAGUGACUCGCAGGGAAGGAAGGAGCCUGGUUCAGCUCUGUCUUAACAGCAAUACACCUCCACAGUCCUCUGGCAUGGGAUUUGUUAGAUUUGGGUCACAAGCCCCAGCAAGUAUGAUUCUCCGUGUAUUUGCGACCAACUUAUUAUGAAGCUGUGCUGGUUUUCAACAGAUUGGCUAUAAUUUGGCUUUAAGAACAACUGCUACUUUGAUAAUAACUGAUACGUUACACUGUAAAGUGAUGAAUACAAUAUGUACACCACUCAAUUAUAUGCUCAUCUUGAUGUCUUUAUGAGAAUUUGCUUGGGAAAAAAUGGUUUUAACGUUGUAUUUUUAGAACAGAAAAUGUGUAACUGUGACCAAAAUAAAACAGACACUUAAAGCGAACCAACUGCCUAAAGCUGGUGAAGAAGACAUGACCAUAUCUCAAGUGACUCCUACACUUCCCACAGCAUAGCAAAAGUACUAUUUUUCUGUCCAAGUGUAGGCGUUAACAGGUUGGUUAAAACCAUAAUAUAAAUAGUCACAUGUAGCCGCAUCAAACGACAAAAAUCCGAUAUUUGACUAAUUGACUAUGUUAGUUUAGUUGUUUAUGUGAGAAUGUGUUAAAAGCAUCAUUUCUUAUAACAUUUAUUUGGAGUCUGAGGUGACUGUCUGUGUUAGUGUUGGGUAAGAAAAGUUGAUUUGAGAUCUUUCCUCAAAUAGACCUAAUCGAUAACACAUUCAGCAUGAAAUGGAAGUGAGUAUUAAGAAAACAGGGAGAUAGAAUAAACACCGAUGUGUUGAUUACCUGUCACAUGGCCCAGCUGGUCUGAGGUCUGUGUAAACAGUCAAAUAUUCUAACAUGAAAAGUCCUGAGAGAACUACAGUGAGUCAACAAAUGGUGCAAUCUAUGAUAAAGUGGGGUGAAAGUGUGUGUGUGUGUGUGUGUGUGUGUGUGUGAGAGAGAGAUAGAGAGAGAGAGAAGGGGAAAAGGUUAUUUACAUUAAAUUAUGUGAAUUUAGCACACUUUAUUUAUUUAAAUAAUUCACUGGCCAUGGUCUUUAAAAGGAUCAUGUGGUGCGACCAUGAUUUAGCCACCAAAUAAUAUAUUUCCUUAAUAUGGUAAAAAAAAUUUUUACAAAGUAUUAGACAUAACUAUGCAUUACUUAUGAAUUUCAGUAAGUCAGCAACAUACAUUUGUCUUGUAACUAAACCGCUUCCCAAUUUAUAAACUUUACAGACUUGUUACCAACAUAAAACGAAUUGUACAAGACUAAUAUUCACUUGAGCAUAGUGUGUCAAUUAAUAACAUUAGCCACAGAACCUACAUUUCUUAUUUUGAAUUGUAAUAUUCUUAUUGCAAUUACUGCUUAUGCCACAUGAUGGGUGAUCACACCAAAUGAUGAGAAGAGCAUGCAUGGUGUUAAAGAACACGCAAUGAGUGUUAAAAUCACUUUCUACUUUCCAUGGAUGGAGGUGUAAAGUCUAACACAGCCUUAGCCAUCUUUUUUCUCUCCCUGUAACUUGUGGAUGCAGCCCUCCAUUUCUCUUUCUGCUACUCCCUGCCUGUCUUUAGCAGGUCACUAUUCUUCACUGAUAGCUAAAACAAUAGCAUACAAUGUUUUGACGUAAAUUAGAUAUGAAAGAGGCCAAUUAAAAUGCAUGGCAUGAUAGAUAAGAACAGAAGCUGUGCCCAUGUAAUGGAAAACCAAAUUCAUCUUGCGUUUUUGAAACAAGAGGUUGACGUAUCAUGUAAAACAUUGUUAAAGUUUCUUUCACCCCCAAUUCAUACAGUCAAUACAGUAUAUGGAAGCUAAACUGCAAAAACAGCCCUUCAAUUAUUCAUAUGUUGUGACUCAUGUAUAAAUCACCUUUUUUUCAUGACAAUAGCAGGUCAGUCCCACCUAAUUAAGAUGAAACGAUAAUGAAUGUUUCAUCCUAUCCCUAGCGUAAUACAGAACAACUGUCUGAACCAUCUGAAGGUGUUUAUUAUAUACUGAUCACAAAUUCACAGUAAAAAACAAACAAACAAAAACCCAAUAGGAUUUUCACGUAGGCUUUUGGAUUAUCACAAAAAACAAUCUCUGUGAUCCACAAACGUUUACAAUACUAACACGUUUUGACCAUUAAGAUAAUUUUCAAUAAUGAAGACAACUUUUAUGAAGUUUGAAGCCUAAAUACGAUCCCCAGAAAUAAACAGCUAACCGUACACUAUAAACAAAUUACACCACGGUCGCUCGACUUCAACGUCACCAUCACCAAGCUUCAGACAAAUUUCCAAACUUGAUUCAAAAACAUUUUCCACAAUACGGAUUUACUCUGUGAAUGAAUCUUCAUCCACCUUUUUUUUUUUGGUAAUUGUGCACAGCACACCUGAACCAGUUUAUCUGCAAAGACGUUUCCUGUUCGGCGUGAUGACGUUUAAUGUCCCUGACAACAUCUGUAGUCCCAUUUAGCAACAUGUUAGUGUCAUGAUAUUCCCUCGGCCAAGCGCUGGAGCUGGCAUCGUGCUCUGAAACCCGAAGCGAAGCUCACAGCACAAGCGCUAAAAUGCUAACUAAUUUCUGGGUUUUGGCAUACAAAAUGACGUCAUCCCCGUGCCACUCUAUGGUUGUAAGUGGCUGCAAGUUUAGGAAGCGCUUGAUUUGAUAUGCAGCACUGUUUUCUAUGAGCGGAGGAUGAACUUUAAACAUCAAUAUCACAGUUGAUCAUAUUCAUGUAAUUGUGGGCAGUCAAAAUCAUAAUUGAGAUCAAUAUUCGAUUAAUUGUGCAGCCCUAGUUAGAAGAGUUCUCAUCAUAAUCAGCCAAUUAGAAAUAUAAUACGGCAAUGUUAACAUCGUAUGUUUUUUUUUAAAUAUAUGUCAAACCUUUCUUUUCUUUUAGCAAGAUACUCAGCUCUUGCUUUAGGAUCAGAGUUAAUCCACUGCCUGUGGCAGACAGUUUUUUCUUUGCUACUCAGUUGCAUCUAGACAACAGUUUUCUGUUUUCUCAUAAAAUUGUACAGAAUAUAAAUAAAAUAUUUGUCUACAAAUCUGGCUUGAAAUUGCAGGAGAAAGACGUAUGUAUUACAGACAGUGGUCGCACCACAUGAUUUUUGGUCACACUACAUGAUAUUUUCAAGUUUCAAUUAAAGUCUAUUAUAAAAUCUGUAAAAGAUAUAGAUUUAUAGAUAUAAUUUCGUUUUCAUGAGGUCUUACCACAUGACAGCCAUAUAUAUGGCAACUAUAGAACAGUCUAACAAACUAGAUCUAGUCUAAACAAGACUAGAUGUUUCCAAGGAUCAUUGGCAAAUUGUGCUAUGAAGUGACUUUUUGUCAUUGAAUUAUUUUCAGUAUAAAAGUCUCAAAAUGGCCUUUUCAUGAUGGUUGCACCAAAUGAUAUUUCAUAAAAUACAUGACCUCUAACAUCACAGUGAAUUAUGAAACAGCUAUAAAUGCUUUGCAGUUAUGUUCACUAAUGUAAAAUACUUUUGAAAUUAUACUAAAUAUGGCAAAAUUGAAAUAUACAAAAAUGUAGUGUUAAACAAGUUUUCAGAAUUGCACUAAUAUUAAGGCAGUUACACCACAUGAUAAUUUGACUAACUAAUAAAAGAAAAAUGACCAAUACAUAUUGUGUACAUAUAUGAGAGCUAAUAGAUAUGUAUGGUGUUUUGUUAUGCAUUUGAAAGUCAGAAAAUCUCUGUCAUGUCAUCAACUGAAAUAUUUUAGUUCCUUAUAUGCUACCAAAGCCUAAAGGAAGUGCUCACUGUUAACUUUGAAGAAAUCCAAAGCAAGUGGCAAGGUCAGUAUAACUCUCUACCAAUCCCCAACAUAAAAUAAUCAACAGAGCAGAGGGUUCUGAUAACAGAGACAGAAGCAUAUGUAACACGCUCACACACACACACACACACACACACACACACACACUAUUAACAUUAGCAUUUACUUCAUCAAAUAAUAGUAACCAGGAAAAUAAGCAGAAGCAAAAUCUGCUCACAAUUACUUCUUGUUCUACUGCCAACGCAGAGUAGUAGAUGAAGAAGUAGGGAUGUACCUUGUAAAUGAGAGUCAAACUGCAAUCUUGUGCAGUGGUAGGUGUGCCAAGUGGCUAGCACCUUCUGCUAUUCAUUACUUCUGUGCUUACAAGCUCCUGCUUGCAUGGGUAUUUACGUUGUAUAAAAGAAUGCAAGUAUUGUGUAAUAAUAAAUAUAGCUGGCAUGUUAAGAGAUUAAGCCCUACCAAGUUGCAAAUGAACUCAAAGCUUGUUUGUUAACAUAUGUCAUGGUGAUACACAUAAUUUAUAGAACAUAAUAUUUUCUGUAUACAUGUAUAUAUGUGUGUGUGUGUGUGAGAUAUAUAUAUAUAUACAUACACACACACACACACACACACACACACACACACAUACAUACAUGCAUACACACACACACACACACACACACAUACCUAUACACACACAUACAGGUGCAUCUCAAAAAAUUUGAAUAUCAGGGAAAAGUUUGUUUUUUUCUGUAAUUUAAUUUAAAAAGUGGAACUUUUAUAUAUUCUAGAUUCAAGCCUUUUUUUGUUUUAAUCUUGAUGAUUACGGCUUACAGCUCAUGGAAAUCAAAAAUCCAGUAUCUCAAAAUAUUGGAAUAAAGAAUUUAUAAUACAGAAAUGUCCACCUGAGAAGAAGAGCUCUAAUCAGAUCAUUAACUCAAAACACCUGAAACAAAACUCUUAGUGAGAAUUUAAUCUCUUAGACAUAUUGCUAUUUGCACUUCUGGUUAGAUGCUAACUACAUUUCAUGGGCUCUGUACUUGUACUCUGCACAAUGACAGUAAAGUUGAACCUAAUCUAAUCUCAUCUAAUCUAAACAAUUUAUGCUGUUGGGCGACUGUGACUCAGGUGGUAGAGCGGGUUGUCCACUAAUCGUAGGGUUGGUGGUUCGAUUUCCGGCCCACAUGACUCCACAUGCCGAAGUGUUCUUGGGCAAGACACUGAACCCCAAUGGCAAGUUAGCGCCUUGCAUGGCAACUCUGCUACCAUUGAUGUGUGAGUGUGUGUGUGAAUGGGUGAAUGAGACACAGUGUAAAGUGCUUUGGAACCACUAAGGUUAAAAAAGCGCUAUAUAAGUGCAGACAAUUUACCAUUACACAUUCAGUGCUUGGGUCCCUAAUCAUAAUAACAAUUUCGUUGUUUUUGUUGUUGUUGUUAGAUCUGAACAUCAUGUAAGAGUUUAGAAAGCAGAAAGAGCAACCAGGACAAAACAACUCAGCUUGUUUAAUGCAUCCUGUCAAAUCCCUCAAAACUCUGGAUGAGGUCUUCAACGCUAAGCAGACACCUUCCCUACACUUGAUCCUUAAAAUGAUUCUAGGUAAGCCAGAGAUGCUGCAGACACACAGCGAUUAUAUGAUGUCUGAGAAUUUGUGAUUGGAAAAGGUUUUAGCUCGAUUGGCAGAAGAGGCAGGUUUCAUUCCACAGCUACAGUAUCAGACAGGAGGACUGACUCUCCCUCUUCCAGCCCCACAGGCAGACAGGCAGUGCAAGAAAAGGAAGGGAGUGAGGAAACAACUCACUGUCUUUCAAGGUCACUGUAAACUCAAUGCCAGGGCUACCCCAUGUUUAUAAGACUUAGCGUGGGCUGGCGAGACGUGCAUGUGCGCAUGUGAAUGACUCGAGUGGCUGAAUUAUAUGCAAAAUAGACAAGAAAAGCGUCUCAACAAUAUUCCAUGCACUUUUAAACUAGCUGCCGUUCUUAAAUGGGAAUAGGCAGAGACAUCAACUCAUAUUUAGAGUUGUUAAGUAUGUAAACUAUAACCUUGUCUAGGCCCACUGCCCAGUUCCUGGUGUUCCUGGUGUUUUCAUGUGUGUUCAUCAGAUAUCAUGUCAUCAUGUCAUAAACUAUUCCAGACUGUAAUAGCACCUGCCAGGACAGUUUAGAGAGGACUGAAACAAAGGAGAUCUAUCCUGUAUCAUCACUGUCCUGUGAGGGAACUGACAUUUCCUGGCACAUGGAGCAGAUGAACCUGAAAAACAAACUGUAUCAGAGACUAAAAUCUCUGUGCUAUGAUGUUUGGUUGUUUCAGCUGUGCACUGUGCUCCUAGAAGUGCAGCAGGAGGAAACAGAAAGAGAAAGAAAGAAAGAAAGAAAGAAAGAAAGUAAGAAAGGAGGAAAGUGUUGCCCAUAAACCAGCAGUUUAACGUUUAAGUCUCUAAACACACUCACAGAGAGCAAGUUGUCUACGAUUGCCACUCCUUUCCUGCUUGUCAUUUCUGGUUAUGCCAUUCUGUCUGUUUUCACACCCACAGACUAACACAAGCACCACUCGUAGUGCGGCUGUAUAUACACUCAGAGAGUGAAAGAUUUGCCUUCAAAAAAAAAAAAAAAAAAAAAAAAAAAAAGCAGAUUACAUACCAGCCUGGCUUCACUGGCUCCUCAGUCAUCUGCUGCGUUCCUCGGUGCUUGCACUUCCUUUGUCCAUUUCGAGGGAGUCAAGAAUACGAGAGACGAAACUGCCUAGUGAAACUCCCAUCAAUCAGAAGACACUCGCUGAUAGAGCGUAUGCUAGGAGACCUACUGAUGUAAGCUAGUCACCAGAGAAAAUACCCAAUCGUGACGCAUAUCCAGGAACAAAAAUAGCACUGGGGCCCCUAGAGGGAUUAUACAACAGGCUACGUUCAGACACACUUUCAGCGCUCGGGCAGCCUCUUGCACUCUGCUGGUUCUGUUUGCUUGCGCAAAUGAAGUUUACAUUUUUGUGAAGCGAGACAUGACCGCAAAUAGACGAGAUCUAGGGAACGAAGCACAGACUGAAAGCGGCAUUUGAGUGUGUGUGUUUGUGCUUGUGUGUAUGUGUGUGUAUGUGUGUGUAUGUAUGUGUGUGUGUGUGUGUGUGUGUGUGUGUGUGGUUUAGACACAGUGCCUUAUCAGACCAAACUUUAACCAUAUGGCCUCAGUGCCUUUGACCUGGGGUUGUCCAUGGCAUGCCAAGCAGGGCAUAACAACAAGGCAACACUUCCUCUUCCUGCCCUCCCUCAUUUAUAGCUCUCCCUCAGCACUAUAAAUAGCUCACCAGGCCAACGUGUGCAAAAUUCCUUCACAGUUGUGCUUUCUCCUUUCUAUUCCUGGCUGGCUGGACUCUUAUAUGAUUGAUUUGUGGAUCACAGGAAUGUGUUGUGUAGGUGUUUGUGCAGGAGAGCGUAUGGGGGGGAAAGUAGCAGCACUGUGACACCAUUCAUACUAGGGUUACGAGAAUGAGUUUCUAACCAACGCUCCGCUGCUGAGGAUUUUCAUUCAUCUACAGUAUGUUAAUGCACUGUAUUUACCUUUAUCAUACUGUAUCUCACAGUAACUGUUGAUAUGGUGAUGUUCUGGUGUUGAGAUUUUAUUUAGCAUUUCAAAAGGAGUUUGUAACAAUCAGAGGUGAAACUGUAACUAAGUUUUCUGCCAUGUUCCAGAAAAACCUCUCAUGUCACCUUAAAACCUACUAAAAGAUCUGUUUUGUGUGCCAGUCUUGUAGAUUCACGGACACUUUCGAAUGUAAGGUCAGAGUUUUCGAUUUGUGAUGCGGCUCAUGACAACAUUCACAACGACGGUGGACGGUUUAAAGGGUUACAAGGCUCAUCAGUGUGUUUCUGUGUUUGUCGCUGUGCGUGAAAUCGCUAAACAUUUUACAGAUUGACUUAGAAACCUGACAGACAAGGAUGUUUUGGCUCUGACACACACACACACACACACACAAAAUCACAAGUUGAGUUUAAAACAUAUCACACCACCCAGUGUGGAUUAUGUUCCUACAACACGCACGGUGACGUUUUAUUCCUCAUGGACUAUUGUCUGAAGCUGGACGUGACAAAGGAACGAGCCGCACCGCCUAACUUUUUGAAAUCAAAAGUGUCAAGAAAUGCAAAAGAUUUAUUAGUCAUGAGUGACGGCAGUGUAGGAGUCACCAGGUAAUAAAACUGCAACUGAUUCAUACAAUUACCACGACACUCUUUCCACAAAACCAACUAUAUUUGCAAGCACACCGCUUUAGACCAGUGUUUCCCAACCGGGGUGCCAUCUAAUGAGAGCAGGGGUGGAGUGUAAAAAUCCUUCAAACAUUUCUAAAAUGCUGAAAUGUGUAUAAAACAUUUAAUAUAUAUAAUAAAUAUCUGAUGUCUGAAAUAAUAACACAGACACAGAAAUAAGACAAACACACACGCAUAAUAAUAAUAAAAAUAAAUUAUAUAUUAAAAAAAUUAGAAUUCCCUCCUCCUCGAAUCCCCUUGCUGACCUGUCAGCAGCACGUCAACAUCAGUAUGCGUAACAUAUGCGUGUGUUUUAUCCUAAUAAUUAGCGUGUGAUGAUGCAUGUGUAGUGCAAAAGAAUAUGGACAGAUUUCUUAAAAGAAAAGCUCCAGAUGCUUCUGGACCAUCAACUUCAUCCUCAUGUAGCUAACACUGUCCAGCAUUAUUGUUUGUGUAGGGUGCCACAAAUUUUAGAAAAUUUGUGAAUUAGAAAAGGGUGCUGUCGCUGAAAAAAAGGUUGGGAAAUACUGUUUUAGACAACUCGAGGUGAAUCAGACAACUUUCAUUCCCCUAUCAGCACUACAUGUUUGCUCCUGAGCUGUCAAAUGCAUUCUGCUGUUUCUUGUACAAUCCAAUUUUCACAGCUAAAUAUACGUGACCUCCCCUGACUGCCAGAGUGGAUGCUGUGAUCCCAUGUGGAUCUCUCACAAAGAGACUGUUGAAGAAAAAGAAAAAACAACCAGCGGUUCUGAUUCUCCAGGGCUCAUGUUCCCUGUCUAAGCAAGUCUUACUGUAAACAACAUCCCCUAGGGAAGUGGCUGUCACAAAAAAAAAAAGCAUGUGAUGCCUAAAGAGGAGCCCUAUAUGAUAUUGUGGUAGAGAGAGCUGAAAAUGGCACUGGAAACACAAUCCUUGGGAAAAAAAAAAAAAGAUACAAAGUUACUAAUACAUUAUGACUGUUAUCAGAGACAGAUAAAUUUGAUUGAUGAAGAUUUUUUGGAGUGAAAGGAAGUGUCUGGAAAAAGAAGAAAAAAUGAUAACUACAUGUUUGUCACACUCUUUAUGAUAGAAAGUGUCUUUUCUAAAAACUAAUUUCACUCCAUGCUUAAAUUAGCCUAGAUUUAAGGGCCAUAUGGCACCAUUUAUGGCGUACCAUGGACCGUUCCCAAUCAAUAUGUUUGGUGCUUAUUUCAUGUCAAAACCCCAUAAUUGAAUUUUAUCAUCAUUUUACAAUACGAAGAUAAAUCUACUUCUACAGCUCUGUGACUGGUCUGAUCCCAAACUCUUGUUAUAAUGUGCUUUAUGAUCAACUGUAUAAUAACCUGAGAGCGUAUGAGCUUAAAAUAACAACAAAACACAAAAUACGCUAUGUGGCCAAAAGUAUGUACACCCCUGACCAUCACACCCAUACUAUAUGUGGUUCUUCCCCAAACUAUUACCACAAAGUUGAAAGCACACAGAUGUAUAGAAUGUCUCUGUACGCUGUAGCAUUACAAUUUUCCUUCACUGGAACUAAGAGGCUCAAAGCUGUUCCAGCACGACACAAAGUGCACAAAGCGAGCUCUUCCAGACACGUGUGGCUUGUCUGUGUCCUGCACAGAGCCCUGACCUCAACCCCACUGAACACCUUUGGAAUGAACUGGAGCCUCCUCGACAUCCCAAAAUCAGUGCUUGACCUCAACCUCACUAACGCUCUUGUAGCUGAAUGAACACAAAUCCCCUUCCCAAAGCCUUUCCAGAAGAGUGGAGCUUAUUAUAACAGUAAAGGGGGAAUAAAUCAGGAAUGGAAUGUUCAACAAGGACAUAUGGGUGUGCACAAACUUUUGGCCAUAUAGUGUAUUAGAUCAGGUCUUUAUCUUCUCCAGGCCUUUAUCUGUGGUUUCUUAAUAUGAAAUAAGCACCGAGCGUAUUCACUGAAAACCACCGAAGAUGAAAUGCUAUGACUGAUGCUGCAUUUCUUCAUGCUCCUGCAAUAGCUCACCAUGUAAUAGAUCUAUCUGCUCUUCUAGCAAACAGACCUUCAGUACAUCUUUACUUCAUUAAUAUUUAAUCUUAAGUAUUGCUGUAAGCAUGUAGGAAAACUCUUUCUCAGUAACAAAGCACGGCCAUCAUACAGACUGCUGAAAUGAGUUCACAAGUAAUAUAUUGGGUUUUUCAUUCGUUUGACUGUUUUUAUGACUGACACAUCACAUGUUUUAUACAAAUGUAAUGUAAUGUUGCAGUUGUCCGACAUCUCUUCCGAUAUUAUGUACAUUAGCAAUAGGGCACAGAUCAUUACAUCUUAGCUUAGCAUAUUGUAAUUAGCUAGCGACACUGCAGAUUAGCAUAAUGAUAGUCGUUGCUAUGAAUCAUGAUUAACUAUUUCACCAUAACUUAAUUUACACGUAAUACACUGGAAGUGAAUAACAGAACUGCUUGUUCUAGAAGGUUCAAACCACGCAUUUUACAAGGAAUGGUGCUCAUGUGAAGCUAUCACAGCUAGCCAGCUCUACUAGCAGACUCACACCAAGGAAUUUGAACUGAAUUGACGCUCCCUCAUCAAACUCACUCCGGAUGACGCACUACAUGUGUUCCAGAUAAAAUCAGGAAUGUACCUCUUAUCUGGAUUCUAUAUUUAUACCAUUUGUGCUGGAAUGAAUAAAUGAAUGAAUGAAUGAAUAUACAUUAUUCACCAACUGUUAAAAGGAAUAUUUCUCGGCAAUACUUGGCUGAGAAGCAGUGUUGCCAUGGCAAUUCUGGCAAUGCUGACAGCGAUGGCCAUGUUUGAACCUAUUUGGAGAGUUUCUGUGAAAAGGACAUGGCAAACAAAGUUAAAAGCAAUUCAUGUGCUGCUUUCAGAAUAAGCAGCCACUCGUCUUCCACUGUUGGGCUUUUCAAGGGGAACAUAAAUGUACUGUACAUAUGGAGGCAAAAUCUCAAGUAAAGAACAAGGUAUUGAGCUUUUUGAUGCAAGUUUUACUUGACUAUACAUAGAUUUAAUAUGCGCACUGAGAAUAUAGUUUCCCUCAUUCUAUUAAAGUUGCACAUGCAGAGCAUUUUCUAAUUAUGACAGAAGGCAUUCCAGAAUGUAUAUAUAAUAGUUGCAUCAGGGCUCCAGAGUGGUAUCACACUCUAAUCCUAGCGAUGCUACAGCCAUCCGAGGCUGGGAGCCAAGGGAGCAGAACAUACAGACCUACAGUACAUAUUCUUGAUAUCUAGUGACACUGCAAAGUCCUAUUUGUUAGCAUCAUCAUAGGCAAGGCUAUCAAUUAUGGGGGUGGUAACUGGCCAAAAUGGUAACCAAAAUGGGGAUUUCACAAAUAAUAGUUUGAUACCAGUCAAAAUAUACAACAUCCAAAAUGGCUGACAUCUUGCUGAGCUAAUUCAUGGAUGAGGUUGUGAAUUUUGCUUGUCUUAAGAAAACAUGUAGCUCAAAUGGGUGCCAUAUUUGGUGCAUAGAGGUGAUACUGGAUGCCCAAGCCCCAAGGCCUCACUAUCGGCACAUACCAUGAACCACACAUUUUAAAUUUGUCCCACACAGCAUGAUGUUCAGUGCAAUUAUGUUACAUUUCCUGUCUGAGCGUUAAGUUUUUUUUGUUUGUUUGUUUUUUUAUCACCUCACCAUGGCAACACCAUGCAAGAUAUCAGCAUUGACUAAGCAAUUCAUCAUUAUGCAUUAUAUCUUCACAUCAUGCUGAAUAAAUCUAGUAUGACUCAGAUAAACCCAAUGGAAGGAGUAUUAAAACGUUUGGUCUAUAAGCUUCACUUUCUGUUGCCGGUUGGAGGCAGUAUGAAACCGAAUCACUACUGGCAUGUGUGUGUCCCCAUGCCCCAUCACUGAACAUGUAAUGUUAAAUUUUGGGCCACGUUGUAAGAUACAGUGGAAUUAUGCCUCACUUCCUGUUGGUGUGGUGUAACAUGUUAGUUGAUUGUCUGUCUCACUAUGGCAACGAUAUCAUGUCUAAGAUAUCAGAAAGUCCUUCACAAUUUAACAUCAUGGACCUCUUUGCAUCAUAUUGACCAAAUUUGUUUUGAAUCUCAUGAAUCCUCCAGAAAUUGUUUAAAAGUUUAAUACCCAUCAAGACACACAAAAUUCAAAAUGGCUGACUUCCUGUUGGGUGGAGUUAAUAUUAAGAAUAGAUGCAUUAACCAAGUUACUUAAGAGAAAGCACCUGCAGUAACAUAAAAAUGUGUAAGGGUGAACGAGGACACAUUUGAAGGAUCUUUUUUUUUAAUGAUUUCUUUUCUAAAUGUACAUUUUAUUUUAAUUCAUCAUUAGCAUAAAAUGUGCCAUACAGAGACCAUUGUGUCUUUGUGACAGAUUGCUUCUAACCUCGAUCACACAAGUGCUACUUUCGUAUCAUGAAAUUGACCUCUUGAUCUUAGCAAACCCUGUAGUUUUUUUUUUUUUUUUGUCAUCAGAUGGCCAGGAGCAAGCAUUUGGUAAAAGCAAUCACUCUGCAACUGCUCAAAAACAAACAAUCAAUCUCUUAUGUGAGCAGCGCACAUUGGAGUACAAGGAAGUAACUGACCUCUCCGGGAUUCACUUUUGCCUGUUACACAACCUGCUGGUGCUGUGUUUUCCUCUGGAGCAGCUGUCUCUCAUUUCAUCCACGGGAGUGGAAAAAAAACAUUCUUGGUCAGGUACCAAAGAUCACACCUCCCCUGAAAAUUCCCAUCAGUCCAUGAACUCUCAUGUUGCCCUGUGGCACCUGUUACUUUAGAAGCCAAGCAUACCGAGGCUGAGCUACUCCUUGGCCUUUGACCUCUCCAACACAACUACUCCAACACCCACACAGCAUUCAGUGAUCACCCAAAGGAGCACAACCAUAUUUAACCUCAGAGUCGGAUCAGCUGGUCAUUGCCAGGAAUGAGGACCAGGGGCUUCCCAAACAGACAAACACCCCCUGUUCCAGUGAAUGCCCCACAAAUGCCUCCAGCCCUAAAGCAUGUGAAGCCUUGGGUGACUCCUACAACAGCAUAACAAACACAGCACUAUGCUUUAGUGCACAGUGAAUAACUCAAGUUUUUCCAUGAAUACCACCUCUUAUGUGGUGUCCAAAACCGGAUACAAAGUUCCACUGGAUCACCUGCGGCCAUGCAAAAUAAAAUUUGGCAAAUUCUCUUUUUCUGCUUCUGAAUGAACCAGCAUAUUAAAAAAAAAAAAAAAAAAAAAAAAAACACUAAAACAAAGGACUGGAUGGGAUUUAAUCUUUAGCUAUGCCAUUCUAUAAAACACUGAUCAUGCAUAAGAUUUAACUGCUUUUAAUAUAUGUGAUAAUUAGAAGCACUUUUUUCAAUUAUUGUUACUUGUGUGUUUACUUGUGUGCUCCUGGACUCAAGGACACUUUCCGGACAACCCCAUGGACUUCCCCACCAUUCCAGACAUGCAUGGACUUCCAGAAACCAUUCCAGAUUGUUUGCGUUCUAGUUCUAUUGUUUGCGUUUUGCCACAUACGUGGUGGCAAAAGUGACCAUAGCAUGAAGUCCAAAAGAAAUGCUUGAGUUUAAAACACACGGUGUUUCUUGUUUAAAUUAAUGUGCAGUUUAAUCUUAAAGGAUUACAUAAAUAAUGACAAAUAAGAUGAUAUAACAAAAAGAUACAACUUCUUAAAACUUAAAAAUGAUGUAAAGAUUUUAAUUAAUUCAAUUUUAUUUGUAUAGCGCUUUUUACAAUAGACAUUGUCUCAAAGCAGCUUUACAGAAAUAUCAACAUGGUAUACAGAUAUUAAAGGUGCGAAUUUAUCCCAACUGAGCAAGCCACUGAGUGGCGACGGUGGCAAGGAAAAACUCCCUAAGAUGUUUUAAGAGGAAGAAAAUUUGAGAGGAACCCGACUCAGAAGGGAACCCAUCCUCAUCUGGAUUAAAGAUGUAAAUAUCUGCUGUCCUUAUCAUAGUCUAUUCAGGAUUACAAAAGUGUCUGAAAAUGUUUUCAAAAGCAUGACAGUUACACAGUUACAAAGUACACAAGUACUUGGUGAUGAUAACUUUUACAUUUGACUUUUAGCUAGGACAGUGAAAGAGAGAGAAAGAAAGUGGAAAAAGUAGAACUGGGGAUGCCUCCACCUCCAACAAGUCUAGUCCUUCUUGUUACUAAUGUGCAUGCCUGAAAUUCCCACAAAAUACACUACAAACAUGGAAGGAAGCUAUUGAAGAAAAACUAUUUCAGACAGUUGACCUUGCUGUGAACUUGACCCUAUUUGGAUGAAUGAAAAACUCUAACCAGUUCACCUGCUGGUUACAACAAUAAUUCCACAUAAACCCUACAAGUAUUCAAGCAUGUGCUCUUGAAAUAUCUCGCUAACAAGAAUCUCAGUUGGACGACUGGACAACUCACUCUUAAGACCACUUUGCUUGCGGUCACCAACCAUCUUCCUUGAGAUCUACAGUACCUUCCUGUAGGUUUCUCCAAGCAAUAUUAAGGAAAUGAUUAGAUGGUCAGGUGAGCACGAUUAUGGUUGGAGUUAAAGUCUUCAGGAUGGUAGAUCUCCAGGAACAGUGUUGGUGACCGCUGGCGUAGAGCAUAUUCUCCAUUUUCAACGUCCUCUGGUUCAACAUUGGUUUCUAGCCAACCCUCAUACUGAAUCCACAUCACAGCUCUGAUUUUGAAUUUUUUUUUUUCUGGAUGAGCUACAGUAGGCUGCAGUCUCUAAUAGGUUGGCGAACAUACAUUGCUUGCCAGUGGGGAAUAAACAAGGAACUGUCAGUGAAGUGUGCUACCAUAGAUAUCAGAGGAAAUGCAAUCUUCUCAUGCAACAGUGGCCUGGUCACAAGUUCUCCCCCAGAGCACGCGUCAACAAGCCUAGUAACUUACUUACUAUCGAACCAAUUCUGCAGAAACUUUCAGCGCAUUCCAAAUCAGUAUCCUUAACAUCAUCAACAAACUAUAAUGGCUGACCCAAAACGUAUUUCCUCCAAAGCUUAUAGUGGAUUUACAUUUCCCCUACAUCAUCAUAUAGAAUCAAUAUAAUGACUAGUCUAAAGUUUGAUGAAAGUUUGCUCUCAAGAAGUUUGCUGUGCAGCCUGGGAUUGUUUUCAUGCCCUUUCCAUUCCAGUAUUUGUGCAAUUUGGUGCCAAGGGCUUAUGGGAAGACAAAUGACUCAGUGAUUACUUUAACAAUUACUCAGUCAACAGAGUUAAGCUUGGAAGGACAUGAUACCAAAACAUCUUGUUCUGCUCUGUCAAGAACUGUUCAUGUCAGGUGAGAGAUUAAAAAAAGAAAAGAAAAGAAUGAAAUAGUGUCCUCAUGGAAAAGUGUACAAUCUUGCCUUAUAUCCUAGCAAUAAAUAGGGAUAAUUGCUCAGCUCGUUUUGUACACUGAUUUGCUAAACCUUCACUGUAGUCAAAGUGAUGCACGCUGUACACUGCCGCUGUAUUUAGUGUCACUCGGAGCCUCAAACCCCAAGUGACUGCACGUAACCUUCUUCCACUUGUGUUUCACAUUCCCAUCUGCAGCACAGGAUGCUGCUCGACAUGAAAUAUGCAAUGAAUUAUAAAACACAUUAUGUAAUGCAUCCACCGAGUCUGACGCAGACGUUUGUGCAACAGCUAAUUAAGCAGCGUGAUGUGGGGGGAUUGGGCAGAUUUAUCUCUUUCUCUAUGCUCAUUUGCAGAACAUCGGGGAAUAGCAGAAGAAGAGAUGCUCUGAUGAAAGAACAAAAAUAUGCAGGAAAAAAGGUGAAAACAGGGUGAGGGAUACACGCAGAGACAACAUGAGCAGAACGAAUAGUCUGUAAACGCAGAGAUAUUUGCAUGAUCACGCUUAAUAACAGCGCAACAUGAAGAAGCAGAGUGAGAGUUACAAGAGAAAUCACAGACAGAGCAUCUGGAGGAAACAGAUGAAAAUAUAAACAAUCAAUAGCCUCACAGGGCAAGAGAAACUGGAACAGAAAGUAUUCAAUAGUAAAGGAGGGUAUGAACUAGCCUUGAAGCAGCUUGAAGGAGGAAAAGAAUCUGGCUGUCUCACUGCUCUCAUCAACUACAUCCCGAGCCUAAUUGUAAAUCAAUUCACAAUGGCCUUGCCGGGGUGUGUAUUUACACUCUGUAGAUGGCUGGAGCUGAUAAAGUGUAAAGCCAAUUCCUCUCUCUUGAGUCCAAUCUGGUUCAAACAAACGCAUCCUAUAACAGCAAGAGGGUUUUCCUGAGAAUCCAGGUCUUCCAGAGUAACACUGCUUCUCUCUAAAACACCAGGACAAGUGCUGCGUUAUAUCGUCUUCUGAUCCAGUCUCCAAAGCACAAGAUACACAAGUCAUACGUUUUCUUGUCUCCUUGUCCUUCUUUGGUCACUUCUCCUGCUACUGUAUACAAUCCUUCAAUGGCAUUUCUUAAACACUCAAACAUGACCAUAAAUAAUUGUAUGCUAUAAAAAAAAGUGGUUUUUUUUAAAAAAAGAUGAGAAAACAGAUAUCACAGCAAUUUUUGAAAGGAUUCCUGAAUUCACGUUAGUAUUUAUAGAAAACAAUAAAGCACUUUGGGCUACAAAAAAGAGCGAUAAAGAGUCUUAAAUUUCUCCCUUUAGAUAUAUAUGCGAGAGGCAAGCAGGAUGUCAACAACAAAUGCCGGCGCAGUCUGUUGCAAAACGAAAACAUGUACUGAAAGAAUUUGUUAGUACCAUGUUUAGUGUCUUUCCUUUACCUUUUUCUCAAAGACACAAACACCACCAAUGUUGUAGCAGUAAUAAAAUAUCCGAGAGAGAUCUGAUACACACCAUUUACUGUAAUCUACAGUGUGUUCAGCAUUGUUAUACAAGACAGAAUUUUUCUUCGUGUGGAGGAGUACUGGAUGGAACACAACAUGUGAGAAAGCCCCAAGUGUCAUGAAAAGCAGAAGAGCGGAUGUGCCUGCGAUUGUGUGGUGAGUAGAACGGGCCCAAAUUAGAAGGUGUACUCGGAGACUGGCAACGUCGGUUUUAAUGGCUGCUGCCCAGCACACAGAUGGAAUGAAGCAAAACACCUGCCCUCGCUCUUGCCUGACUAAAAUCCAGAUCAGCGCUUCUUUUUUUGUUUGUUUUUUUUUUGCAUUUAAAACAAAUCCUGCACUGCCACACUAUCUGCUUUAGCUGAAGGGUAACAAGAGGCUGAAACCUUGGAGAGCACAGGAAGUGAUUUGGGAAGCUCUUAUAUUCCAGACAUUUCAAAGUGCAUACUUAAAGAGACUAGCUGCGUGCUCUUACAUUUUUCAACCUUUAUUUUUCAUGCACAGAUGAACACACGUACACGUGCAUACUCACAGAGGAAUAAGCAAACAGAGAGCAGAUUGCAGGCUUAGGCACGGAGGUGAGUGUAUGCAGCGUGGGCCGCUGGGAGCACUAGAGACCUGACGCUGGCGGUUCACACUUCCCCAGCCCUCGCACUACUGUGUGUGUGUGUGUGUGUGUGUUUGUGUGUGUGUGUGUGUGUGUCUGCAUAAGCAAAAGCACCAGCAACACCUCCUCUCGCUCAUCCACACUACAUCACACCAUGUGUUUAGAGAAGGGAAAGAGACGCCACUGACAUCACACCACGCAGGUGGCAACCCUCUCACAGGAGGAAAGCAAGAUGAGAUAAAGACUGCCUUCGAGCUGUGCAGCAUUUAAUCAUGUCAGAAUGUAGAAGCUUCCUUUAGAGUACAAAGACACUGUAUUGACAUGAAAAAGUGAGAACGCUUAAUACCUCACUUGUUGUUGGGUUGUUGUUUUGUUUUUUUUGGUUAAAUGGUGUCUGCGUUUGCGCCGCUUCCUGUCGUCACUUUCCUCUACACUUCACUCUUCUUUCCAUCUCAGUUGUGAGGCCUGUAAAAACAUGGCCUUUGAUAAAGAUGAACAUAUUGGCUUGUCUCUUUACCUAAUAUUUUAACCUGCAAUCAAGGAGGGUGAACGAUACCUUCAAGCAGACGGAUGUCACUUUUAUGCAUUUCGAGGCUCAGAGAGAGAGAGAGAGAGAGAGAGAGACCUACUGAAAAGCCUCCAAGAUCAAAGAUGAAGAAGCAAAUGCGAAAAAAAAAACAAGUGUGAGCGCAUACGUUAGUAGCUGGCUUUUUGUAAAAUACCACAGUUCCAAGCAUUGCACUAGUUAGAGAUCUACGGUUACACCUCUUGUCCUUUUCCUUUCAAGAUUAAAAUGGUUGAUUGUGGCUUGAUGUUUGCCACACAAUAAGACUUCCUUAUGCACAUUUAUUAGGUUUUUUUCCCCCUCUUUCUCUCUCACAUUUUCUUUUUCUCUCUCUCUCACCGUCUCAUACUACAACCAACUAACUAAAGUUUGAAAAUGCUUGAUCACCUAGAUCACACAAGAUAAAACAAGACCACUCCUAUGUUAAACAUGACAAUAGAAUACACUGCUUUUGAAUCCCCUAGCUACACGACAAUCUCAGGUCAUGCUUGUGAUUAGCAGGCUGCUCUUAUUAAACCUGUGCAUACAAUAAUUCUUGUCUUUAGGCAGCAAAAAAAAAACCUUCACCAUUCAGAUACCAUGAAAAAAAAAAACUGUGCUAGUUUUUUUUUCUUUUUAUACAAAGGGCCUUUAAGCUCCUGUAUUCCUCACCUACUCCUAGUACUUCAUGUUCAGAAAGAACAAUGAGGUUUAAUAUAAUAUGUGUGCCAUAAUUAAACCUCACCUACCAUUAAUCCAAAUGGUAAAUUGGAGCAGGGCAAAGAUUAGGCAGGUCAUUAUUCACCACAGUCUGUGUGGGAAUGAUACUUUUAAUAAAAAACAUUCCCUACAAGGCUACCGAGUACUCCAAAGAAGACUUUCCUUUUCUUGUGUCUCUGGAUCAUAGAGAGGAACAACUGAGUAUAAUUGGCUUUCUGUUUCAUGCAAUUAAUUAUAAGUAGCUCGUAACACCUCAGGGCAAGGACGUGCAAGACUUUGCCAUUUUAAAAUGCUAAAUUCUACAUGCUAUUUCAUCAUGAAUGUUCAGAGCAACAUAGUAAGUAAUGUAAGCGAAGAAAACAUGUGACCUCAAAAGUAAGCAUUUUUUAAAUAAAAUCAAAAUCACUGGUCCAGGUCAGGACGAGCAACAGAAAAGACGUAUGAACUAAAUCAUCAUACAUCUGUUCAUCCAGAUCCGAGGUCUAUAGCAGGAACACUGGGCACUGGGCAUGAGGCAGGAAUACACUCUAGAUGGGACACCAGUCCAUCACAAAACACUCCAUCAUAAAACAACCUUAACAUACCUUGUGUUCAUGGAGCUCGCUUUGUACACAGGGGCAUUGUCAUGCUGGAACAGGUUUGAACAGGCCUCUUGUAGUUCACAUGAAGGGAAACUGUAAUGCUACAGCAUACAGAGACAUUCUGUACAACUGUGUGCUUCAGACUUCGUGGAAUAGGCCCACAUAUUGUUAUGAUGGUCAGGGAUGCACGUACUUUUGGCUGUAUCAUGUAUAUGUUCUCUGAAUUGUACAGUUAAUGCUGACCUAAUGAUUGUAUCAACCGAAGCACAUCACCCAGCUACAAAGUCAUUAGACUUUCUGCUUCUUUCCCUGCUUAGCAUUAAGGACAGCUGCUGAGGAACAGUGUGAACGCCACUAAUGACAGCACUCUCCAGUUAAUGACGUGGGCCGCCCAGGCAGAAGCAGGAAUCACAGAUACUCAACUCACACAGCCCUUUCAGUGGAGGGCAAACGGGUGGCCCGACUCCUCUAUGUGCUUCACUACAAGCCUUUUCUGCAACUGUCGAUAUACAGUAGGUGACUGCAGUGGUUAAACGAAUAAAUCUUAGAUGUGGAUGUUAGAGACAUGAAUAUGGCUAUGAAACCUGAACAAGCACUAAAAUCUUUACUCAGUUCAGCUGCAUUUGCAAACACCAUAUAUUAUUUCAAAAGCAUUAUAUGCAGUAUAGUGCAUUAAACAAAAUGUCAAAAUGUUCUGCAUUCUUCAGAACUGUCUGUGAUGGAGAGAAGAAGCGGCUUCUUCAUUCAUCCGGUCGCUGCGGCUGCUUCUCGACUCAACUAUAACACCAUCUACUCGCCAAGCAACUGUUGCCACCAACUCUCCAAAGCUCAAGUCACCAUCUGUUCUACCACUGAAUGGAAAAUAGGAAAAAAGAGCGUGAGGUAACGACAGGAAGUAUGGGUGAAAAUGCUGGGUAAAGAAGAUGCGUACUCUGCUUUGCUACCCGAGUGUCACCCAUUUUUCCACACAAUUCACUGCCACAAAGGGGUAAAAACAACAUCACAAUGAUGCUCGUUCCUAGUUCAUAACAUGGCAUAUGGUUAAAUUUAUGGCAUUUGGCAGACACCGUUAUCCAGAAAGACUUACAUUUAUCUAAUCUAUAGAACUGAGCAGUUGAGGGCGUUGCUCAAGGGCCCAACAGUGGCAGUUUGGCAGUGCUGUGAUUUGAACUCAUGACCCUUUGAUCAGUAGUCCAACGUAUUAACCACUGAGCUACCACUGCCCAUUAGAGUUCCAUUUUAGACAACAUUUUCUAGGUUGGAUUUCCAUUUUAGACAACAUUAGGAGCAACAGUGUGACUCCUACUCAGAGAUACUUCACCUCUAUAAAAAGUUUUUAAAAAACAAUUUCGUAAUCCAAUAAAAGUCUUCAUGCUUUCAUUUCAAGCUUUUUUAUUUCAAUAACAAACUGCAUGUGAAUACAACGUGAUGAAAUCAAAGCAGGCUGAAGUACGUAAGAUGACCACCCCUCGUCUAAAACUGUGGAUUGGAUGACAAUGGAGAGGAAACCCAUACGAAGAAUUGUGGAUUGUCUCUCCAGAACUGCUCGCUUUCAGUACCAAUUUCUUUUCCUGCACACAAAAAUGCACUCGUGCACAUUCCAAAUGCCUCUCAACAGGAAGUGUCCUAGUCUGCAGUGCAAAAGUGUGCGAGUCAUUUGCAUGGUACAGAGAAGAGGAAGCGAAAGCCGCUCAGUCCAUAGGAGAAAAAAGGCAGGGUGGGUUCCUGUUCAGCCCGUGUCGCCUCACCUUGCCUCACUGCUUUCCAUGUGUUUUGACUAUAGACACAUGCCACCCACCACAGCCCCUGCCCAACAGGAAGCAGCAGCAGCUCACAGAGCCUUGCUAUUCACAUUCAAAUGAAGCUGUUAUCAGGAAGCCAGUAUUGGCAGAAAAAGCAAGAGAGAGAGAGAGAGAGAGAGAGAGAGAGAAGAAAAAGAGAGAAAGUCUUUUAACCCAUUUUUAGAGAUUGACAGACAGUGGAGUGUGCCAUGACACCCCCACGCCAACAGAGAGCUCUCUAAUGCACACAGUUCCUGUUCCCCUGUCACUUCCUGUUUAUGGACUAUAUAAGGACACCUUCCUACACAAAAUUACUAGGAGAUCUCGCCAAUACUUCUAGUAUGUUCUAACCAUUGUUUUAUGUUUGCUGUCCCUGGUUAUGACCUUGCUUCUUUUAAUGCAGUGUUUAACCCUGUUUGCAAGCACUCCAUCUGGGCAUCCCAGGGAUCUCAACAAAAUAAGACUGGUGCUAUCAAUACUUACUGGGAAAACUCUAGACUGGACUGCGGGUGUAUGUGCGAUGCUCUUAUCGAACAAUCCUGUCCACACUUGCAGAGUGGAUUUUGGGAAGUCUUUUAUUGUCCAGCAAUGGCAAGAAUCACGGGUCGCAGGCAACAUUCUGAAUGAUUCGCUUAUUGCCGGCGUUCACCCAAAACAUGCGGACUGGCACUCUUCCAGACCCACGAGCAGACCGUGUCACAGGGGUGGAUCGGUGGUUCCAAGUCGAAAUCAUUCAUGCAUUAACUCGCUGCAAAGUCUUGCCAAUAUUUUCAUUGAGUAAAUUCUGAGCCGUCUGAUAUCCCAAAUUCCCAAAAGAUAUCUGACAUUUCUCCAUCUCUAUUGCUAUAUUCCUGUGUAUGACCUUUGCUCCAAUCGUGACUUCCCUGUAAGUUUUACACUUUGUUUGAUGAAUACCUGGGUUCUCCCUGCCUCCCUGCAUGAUUUAUGACACUGUUUUGGAUUUGUUAAUCCUGGUUCAUUAAACCUCCAGCACAAACCUUCCCCUGAGUCCAUACGAUUACAUGCAUACACUUGUCACAAGCUCUAGUGACUUUUUAUUUAUUUAUUUAUUUAUUUAUUUAUUUAAACAUGGUCCCCUAACCCAUUUCAAUAUACUAAAGCGAUAUUUAGGAUUGCGAUUUAAUUACAGUACACACAUGGUUGCUUGGUGCAUACGUGCAUGUGUGUUAGUCAUGUUUGGAAAGCAUGUCAUUUGCGUGUGGGUCGUGUUCCAUUGCCUAGCAAACACCUGCAAACACUCAACUGCUGUUGUUUAGCCGGAGACAAGUGAGGGUAAAUUUAGCAGCGGAUUUUUUUUGUCUGGUGCUGCCACAUGUGCCAGUCAGCAUGAACGCCGGUUUGUUGAACGAACCACAUCGAAUUUCCUAUUUGCUUCAACUGAAGGAGUUUUAUAUACACAUAAGUCAAGGCAGUGAUAAAAAAUUCUAUCCAUAGUGAAUCAGUAUGGAUGAAUUACUUGAAAAGACAUGGGGAGAGAGAGAGGGAGAGAGAGAUCACCUCCAAUGGCUGGGGGACUUCACCUGUAUACCCAGCACUAAUGGUCACAUGAUCGCUCACUCUUACCCAGCAUUGUCAGACCACAAUUUUUAUUCAUCCACUCACACAGCUAUGUCUCUCAUCCUCUUUCUCCUUUUCCUCUCUCUUAGCUUAGCUCUACUAGUGCAGCUUUUCACUCCACCUGAUUCCAUCAAGGACAAAGCACAGUUUCAGAGAUGGUUCCCAUAGAAACAGAGUAUGCCUUGCUAUUUUAGUCAUGUUUUGUACAUUGUAUCUGCCGGAGCAGCCGCACCAAAGACAGGAAGUGACCAACAGCACACAUCAAUAAGAAAGUCUGGAAUCCCUGCAGCAGUUCAGAUGGCCAUCUACUGCUGCCCCGGGGUUAAAGGUGACCAUCAACUCAACAUGCUAAUGGAAAGAAAGUUAAUGAAUCUUUCACCAUGCAUGAAAUGUUUUCCUGAAUUUUUUUAAAGCCAAAUUCAUCUUUUUAUCUUCUUUCCAAAGGGCUAAAAGGCACUUGAAUCUUCAAGAUGAAAAGUUUCAACUCUAUCGGAUAUACCCACGAUAUCAAACGUUGGGGCUGUUUUGGGACUUUUUAAAAAGAAAUGUGUACACAUAGAAAUAUAUUAUACUAUUUUCUACUAUUUUAUUAAAUACUACUUUUGCUAAAAAGUGACAAAUCUCACUGCUUUUGCAGAAUACACAAAGGUUAGUGACACUUCAUUUAACCUAAAUUCUUCACCCUAAUCUUUAAAGAUUUGCUGUUUGCUAGUAAACGAGCUAAUGUUAUGCUAAACGCUAUGUGAAAAUACUAAAAUUAGCCGUGUUUGCUAGUACACGAGCUAAUGUUCCCAAUUUUAUGAUUUUUAUUGGAGUUUGUUUCCAAAUUCAGUUAUUUAUUCUUAAUGAUGUGUUCAUUCUUAGUUCUCUGAUCUCAUGAUCUCUGAGCUCUAAGAAACAAUAGAUGAAAUAGGUGGCACACUGAAUUAGUUCUCUUGCCAAUUGUAUGAUUGUUGUUGAGUUUUUCCAACAGCCAGUUAUUCAUUCUCAAUAAUAAAGGAUUCAGAGGAAAAUUCAGUCUGUUUUCAUUCAUAUCGAUGUAUCUCUGUAAAUUCAGUUCAUUUUGUAGAUUUGAAUUAUGAAUUAACACAAUAUUGCAUGGUAUCGUAAUACUUCAGCUGGCAUAGUAUCGUAAGAUACGUUUGUGGAAUCGUGACAACCUUGAUAUACAUAAACAUACUGCACACAUGCACUCUUUAACUCCCAGGGAGUUACUGUUGCCAAUUCUGACCUUUCACCCCCAGGUGGAAUAAAGCCUGAGCGCAAGGUGCAAUAAAUAUCAACAUACAAACCCAGACAAAAACAUAACCAUUCUCCGAACACUGGCUGGGGAAGCUAAUCCAUCACGAGGCACCCCCCCCCCCCCCCCCCCCCCCCACACACACACACACACAAAAUCAAACACUCGUUCACUCUUCAAGGCAAUUUAGAGUAGCAAAUCCAUGUACCAGCAUGUUUUCUGGAAGAAACCCGAACAGAGAAGAGAAGUAACCCUGAGUUCAGUGCUCAGCUCAUAUUAUCCAGUUCCCCACCGUGCCAUCCUCUUUCAUAUUAUCACAACCUCCAAAGCAUUACAGAAGAUAUUUAUAUUAAUAACUAGAACCAGUUUAUAACAAUAGCACUUUACAUUAGAAAUGGUCUAUAAAGCGCUUUACACUGUUUCUCAAUCACCCAUUCACAUACACACUCACACCAAUGCAAAUGUGACGCAUCACCUGUACCGCUGAUGAACACCUCCGUGUCCAGUAUUUCUGAGGUGCUAAGCUCUGAAGAAUGAAAAGUGAUAGACUGCUAACUUGGUGUUCACUUGGAGUUAGAAUUCUCGAGUAAAGUAGUCCUUUAAUGCUGGCACAAGUGACUUUUAGCCGUAAUGAAUAUUUACAGUACAUGUGUGUUUGUCUGCAUCGUUUUACAAACUCUGAGUCGAGCUCUCACUGCUACUGGUUUCAAUUUCACCACUUGCAUUUCCAAUGCCAAGAGAGACCGUGAGAAGGAUUGUAAAGAACGUAACAAUGACCAACAACUCGUUCAAUCAUGCGUACACACUUUAAAUGUUUCUCCUGCGCAUUUCUCCAUCUUCAAUCGGCUCUGCUCGGCCUGUAAUUAGCCGCUUAAAAAAACAUUUUAAUGCUGAUAUUCAUCAUCUGUGUACAAACUGAGAAACAAUUAAAACACUGUACGAAGGCUUACACGGGUUACUUGAGUCAGAGUUUGUCAAUAAUCUCACAGUCUGUUAGAAAGCUAACGAUGUGCCGCUUAGCUGUUAGCUGACAGUUAGAUUGCUAACAUCUGUGCUAAUGACUUAGGUGUGGUUCAAACCAACGUCAUGGAAUUGGCAAUAUGGAUCUGCCCUUGACCUUGGAGAUUAAUUUUCAAAUAAAAAUAACCUCAAAGUACGCAUUCUGACAUGGAAUCAUAUUUUCAGAACAAACACCGGCAUUAAUUAAUUUUAUCACAGGCUUUUUCUUAAAUAUACAUUUUUUCAUUUGAAUGCCCAAUUCCUGCAUAUCAUAAGUGUCACACAUUUUAUGUAUGGCAUGCAACAUAAAUCUGUCUGCAUCAACCGGUCACUGAACUAUAAGCACAGAAGUGAUUUUCCAUAGGUAUUAGCGGGCACACAUACACACACACACACACACACACACACACACACACACACACACACACACACACAGAGAAGCACAAGGGAGGCCACGGGUAGCCUCGACUGCCUUUUAUGAAAACAGCAGGGCCGGUGUGCAUCGCAAACCAAUCAGCAGAAAGCAGCACCAUGUCCAGAAGAAAGAAAGGGAUGGACAGAUCACUAGCCUGGCAGCCCAGGACAAGCAUACUUCAUGUUCAGGCAAUUAGUAUUUCCCGUUUUUUUUUUUUAAGUGACUUUAAGAAGAAAAGUACACUUAUACUUAUUGACCUUCCCAAUACAAAAGUUUUCAUUUAAUUUGCAUGUAUAUUUAAACGUUACGUACUUCAUGGCGGUGUGGCGCUCCUCAAUGAUGUAACUAUCCGAACUUUCGAAUCCUGACACCUGCUGCACUACACACACAUCAGCUGAGACACGAUCAUGAAAAAAUGAGCAAAAUAAAGACUGCUCAUUACCUUUAAACCGUAUUAAUCCACUAAAUUAACUAACUUCCUUGUCAAACAUUAUGAUGUUACAUUAACUACCAAUUUUUCUCAAACCAAAACACAGGACUGGGCAACACAGCAAAGUUUUUACUUGCCCAGGGGGCCUGCUAAUAAAUGUAAUAGAUUUGUCCACUUGUGAAGAAAUACAAAAAUGUAAGCUUCCAUAUUUAUUUUGUUGAGCAAUGCUAAGAUUCAGUGAGAUAUGCUUGCUUGUGCUUUAGUGAAUAAAUGCGAAAGCAAAUUGGAAAAAGCUCAGUGGUUUGUUACUACACCUUUAUGCAUUUGGUGUAAUUGUCAGCAUUUCUUGUGGCCGGGACCAACGCUAGUCACGCAUGCACCUCUGCUACUGUCACAUGCAUGUAAUUUGUUUAGCUCACACGAUCAGACACGCUACCAUAUAUAUAUAUAUAUAU
ensembl:lncRNA